AUUAUAUAUAUUAUUAUAAAAUUUUCGAAAUCAAACGAUUAUGUUGUAGCCACGUUACGUCUAACAUGGAGUAGGGUUCCAUGUGAUCACAAUCCGAUAUUGACUCGAGAGUAUUCGGAUAAGUCCGGAUUCAUUCGUUUUCAUUCGUUCAUAUACAACGUUGAAAUUCUUUGCAUUAUUCUUUGUUAUCGAAAUUUCAGGUCUUUUUAUAUAUUUUUCUAUUUUUCAUCUAUAUUUUUUUUGGUGUUGAAGUUAAUCAUUUACUUUAUCGACCACAUAAAAAUUGGUAUUUGUUAUACACGUGACAAUAAACGAGAAAUUCCAUUCUUUUGUUGAGAAUAUACUGAAGCAGUGAAUUAUAAAUACAUCAUUGUUAAAACAUCGUGAAAUAAAAGAUGGAAAAGUAUACAAUAGUGUGAUAAUAACUUCAAUUCUGCAGUAAAUUAGAACAUACAAAUAAUAUAGAAACUAUAUCAAAUAAAGUAGAUCAUUUGACUUCUAUAGUCCAUGGCAUAAUCAGGAAUUAAGAAAAUUCACAUAUGAGAAAAGAGAAAAAUAAGUAGUCGUUAAAUAAAGGUUAUAUAAUGAAAGGAAAUGAGAAAUGAACGAGUAUUUAUUUAUUAUUAUUUGUAUGCAUAUAUUUAUUAAUCUCAGUUUUCACAAGACACGAAGUGUAUCCUGUAUGCUUUGAAGAAUGGAAUUUUAACAAUGAAUGGAAUAUUAUCAUUAUCUUCUUUUUGAUAGAACCAACGCAUAUUUCAUUUAAUAUGAGAUAUUAAGUUUAUAUAUUUAAAUAUUUAAAUAUUAAAUAUUUUAUUUAUAUUGUAUUUAACAAUUAGUGUUUUAUUAGUUUCUAUCUAGUGUACUAUGUAUUUAUUGCUACUAAAUGUUAACAAUUAUAAUAAAUAAUUAAAUAUUAA
rnacentral:lncRNA from 1 species